rnacentral:lncRNA from 1 species
GCCCAGCUACGCCGGGGUCUCCAAGGCCUUUUUCCUCCGGAGGCUCAGGCCCUGGAAGUGCAUUAUACGAUGUUUUUUUUUUUUUGGACUCCCUUCUGAGGCCACACCUGGCGGAAGCCGGCCCUUCUUGAUGUAAAUGUGCAAGUUAUCCCAGGAAGAACCCGAGAAAAACAACCCACCUUGCCUUUUGAUUGAAAGAUGUAACAGCAACAACUUGCCUUUCUCAGGCCUGACCUAUCAACAGCGAGGCGCGUAGGAGAGCAAAUACGUUUUAUGCCUUCCAACUAAGAAUCAGGCUGCUGCCGAUGCUGGUGGUAGAAGGUGGCAGAGAAGAUAAUGCCUGGGAGAAAUCAUAGAUGUACAGAGACUCAAAUCUUCAGUUACCUUUCAAAUGCUCAACAAGCCCACUUAUUGAAGUAAGCGGUAACAGUUUCCUGAGCCUGAAGUAUGAGAGAGCAGAGACACUUGAAGAGUGUUGUGAAUUACAUGCUGCAUGGGACAUCUGAAGUUCUGUAUGUUAGGCAUCCCUGUACGCUCUUCUGGUAAGACUACCUGCAUUGUGUUGAGUGAUCUCAUCUCAUGAUAUGGUUGAUGUCAAUUGUGUCCAACUCUUUGGGACUCCAAGGACUAUAUCCCAUCAGGCUCUCUGUUCAUGGCAUUCUCCAGGCAAGAAUACUGCAGUGGGUAGC